rnacentral:lncRNA from 1 species
AGCAGGUAGAGCUGAUGGGAGGAGGUAAGACAGGAAGGAACUGCAUAGUCCAGUAGGUUGGUCUUGAACUCCUGUCCUCAAGUGAUCUGCCUGCUUCAGCCUCCUAAAGUGCUGGGAUUGUAGGCGUGAGCCACCGUGACCGGCGUUCUUCCCUUUUUUAAAUGAUUAAGAAGAACAACAUCCAUAAUGUCACAUACAAACCUGAUGUGAACCACAAGAUCCUGGUCUUCAAGCCUGAUGACAUAAUUGCAAGAGGUGUUUGGGGGUCUUGGAAUGGUGCAUCCCCCAUCAAGAGGUGGAGGGAGACUAUUUCUCCUCCCCUUAAACCUGAACUGACAUCAUGACAUUUUUGGCCAAUGGAAUGCAGCAGAGAGAUGGUACAAAUUCUCUGUCUAAGCCUCAACAUGCAUCGCACAUCUCAGCUCUUUUUUUUGAAGUCCUGUCCCACUACUCAUAUGAAAUGACCUGAGCUAGCCUGCUGGAGGACAAGAGAUCACAUGGAAUAGAGAUGAGCCAUCCCAGCGGAAGUUAUUCUACAUUAUCCAGGAACCAGCCAAUUUAGCAGCUGGCCUCAGACCCAUGAAUAAACUCAGCCAAGACCAGGUGAACAACUCACCUGGGCUUAGCACAAAUGUUGACUUGCAGAAUUAUGAGCUAUAUAAAUACUUGCUAUUUUAAACCACUAAGUCUUUGGGGAUAGUUUGUUAUUUGGCAAAAGCUAACCAAUUAAAAUAAAUUGAACCAAUAUAAGAGUCAAAGCACAAAAUUGGAUAGAGAAGUACUUAA